CAUGUAUUUCCUCCGUCCGGAAAUACUUGUCCUAUAAAUGAAUAAAAUUGAUGUAUCUAUAACUAUAAUAAGUCUAGAUACAAUCAUUACAAAUAUUUUCAGACGGAGGAAGUAUGUU
rfam:Triticum aestivum genome assembly, contig: Triticum_aestivum_CS42_TGACv1_scaffold_147871_2BS